UACGUAGGUGGCAAGCGUUGUCCGGAUUUACUGGGCGUAAAGAGCGCGCAGGCGGUCGAUCAAGUCGCGUGUGAAAGCCCCCGGCUCAACUGGGGAGGGUCACGCGAUACUGAUCGACUCGAAGGCAGGAGAGGGUAGUGGAAUUCCCGGUGUAGUGGUGAAAUGCGUAGAUAUCGGGAGGAACACCAGUGGCCGAAGGCGACUACCUGGCCUGUUCUUGACGCUGAGGCGCGAAAGCUAGGGGAGCAAACGGG
rnacentral:rRNA from 1 species